UGGGGAAUAUUGGACAAUGGGGGGAACCCUGAUCCAGCAAUGCCGCGUGUGUGAAGAAGGCCUGAGGGUUGUAAAGCACUUUCGGUGGGGAGGAGAGCAGAAGGUUAAGAGCUAUCGAACUGGACGAUACCCACAGAAGAAGCACCGGCUAACUCCGUGCCGGCAGCCGCGGUAAUACGGAGGGUGCGAGCGUUAAUCGGAAUUACUGGGCGUAAAGGGUGCGUAGGUGGUUAAAUAAGUUAGGUGUAAAAGCCCUGGGCUCAACCUAGGAUGGAGACUUAAAACUGUUUAACUGGAGUAUGGUAGAGGGUAGUGGAAUUUCCGGUGUAGCGGUGAAAUGCGUAGAGAUCGGAAGGAACACCAGUGGCGAAGGCGGCUACCUGGACUAAUACUGACACUGAAGCACGAAAGCGUGGGGAGCAAACAGG
rnacentral:rRNA from 1 species